UACGUAGGGUGCGAGCGUUAAUCGGAAUUACUGGGCGUAAAGCGUGCGCAGGCGGUUUUGUAAGCCAGAUGUGAAAGCCCCGGGCUCAACCUGGGAAUGGCAUUUGGGACUGCAAGGCUGGAGUACCGGAGAGGAGGGUGGAAUUCCUGGUGUAGCGGUGAAAUGCGUAGAUAUCAGGAGGAACACCGGUGGCGAAGGCGGCCCUCUGGACGGAUACUGACGCUGAGACGCGACAGCGUGGGGAGCAAACAGG
rnacentral:rRNA from 1 species